GGAGGACCUGCUGCCUGAGGAGAGGAGGUCCUCUGCUAAACCUCUACCUUACCACCAAGAGAGUGGAGGACAUCGCCCUGAGGCUCGUCUCCCUGCGCCAGGCCUUCACUACCCUGCUUGGUUCCACCCUGAGCAGGAACCAUCUGUUUGUGGCGGAAAGGUCCUCCUGGG